GGAAUUCGCGUCCGUCCGUCCGUCUUUUAACCUAUCACGAGCUGCGCGAGGACACUGAACCCCACCACCCCCGGGCCGCAUCACCGCGCCGCCGCCGGUGUGUGCCUGCGCGCCCCCUGGCGGCGGUCGGCCCGCGCUCGGCGGGGCGGGGCCCCUCGGUGCGAGCACAAACUGGGCACCUGCGACUGAAAAAAAGCGAUUUUAACCGCAGCUCGGCGUCUCCCCCCAUUUAGAGGGCCAAGUAGCAGUUCAGCCAUUGUGUGCAAAAGCCUACAAGAAUAUAUGAUGCUGGCUGGCAAGGGAGUAUUGCUGCAGAACCAGCAAAGCAAAAUGGUUGCUGAAACAUCCAUUAUCCACCAAAGGACAAGCUAUUGAUACAUUUUUGUACCCAAAAGACAGCAAUAUAAUGAUACUAUUUCAGUUGAUUGUAUUAAAAUAUAUGUAAUUAUUCUGUCCAUGAAUGUUGAUUUUGGAAGAGUUUGUGCCUAAAUCUACAGCUUUCUGAAAUAUUUGAUACUUUGUUCUCCAAGUAAAAUUGUUUUAGCCACUUA